rnacentral:rRNA from 1 species
GUAGGGAAUCUUGCGCAAUGGGCGAAAGCCUGACGCAGCCAUGCCGCGUGAAUGAUGAAGGUCUUAGGAUUGUAAAAUUCUUUCACCGGGGACGAUAAUGACGGUACCCGGAGAAGAAGCCCCGGCUAACUUCGUGCCAGCAGCCGCGGUAAUACGAAGGGGGCUAGCGUUGCUCGGAAUUACUGGGCGUAAAGGGAGCGUAGGCGGAUAGUUUAGUCAGAGGUGAAAGCCCAGGGCUCAACCUUGGAAUUGCCUUCGAUACUGGCUAUCUUGAGUAUGGAAGAGGUAUGUGGAACUCCGAGUGUAGAGGUGAAAUUCGUAGAUAUUCGGAAGAACACCAGUGGCGAAGGCGACAUACUGGUCCAUUACUGACGCUGAGGCUCGAAAGCGUGGGGAGCAAACAGGAUUAGAAACCCGUGUAGUCC